AGCGAACGCUGGCGGCAGGCCUAACACAUGCAAGUCGAGCGCCCCGCAAGGGGAGCGGCAGACGGGAGAGUAACACGUGGGAACGUACCCUUCAGUUCGGAACAACCCAGGGAAACUUGGGCUAAUACCGAAUACGUCCGUAAGGAGAAAGAUUUAUCGCUGAAGGAUCGGCCCGCGUCUGAUUAGCUAGUUGGUGAGGUAACGGCUCACCAAGGCGACGAUCAGUAGCUGGUCUGAGAGGAUGAUCAGCCUCACUGGGACUGAGACACGGCCCAGACUCCUACGGGAGGCAGCAGUGGGGAAUAUUGGACAAUGGGCGCAAGCCUGAUCCAGCCAUGCCGCGUGGAUGAUGAAGGCCCUAGGGUUGUAAAGUCCUUUCGACGGGGAAGAUAAUGACGGUACCCGUAGAAGAAGCCCCGGCUAACUUCGUGCCAGCCGCCGCAGUAAGAC
rnacentral:rRNA from 1 species